rnacentral:lncRNA from 10 species
UUUUUGUUUGUUUGUUUUUCAGAGUCAUACUUUCCCCAGGCGUCUCCAUGACAAUGAUCCUCGUGCAGGCUCAUUUCUGAAAGACGCAAGACUCCUGUAAUGGGUGACAUUUGAGAUUCCUUGCCUUACAACCAUCUGCAAACCAGGAAACAAGUCCUCACCAGACACCUCCAGAUCUUCUGGCACCUUGGUCUUGGAAUUCCCAGCCUCCAGAACUGUAAGAAAUGAAUGUUUGCUGUUUAAGCAGGAGUAUAUUUUUUAUAGCAGCAAAAAAUUGACUAAGACAGGUACCAUCUAAAGAGAUCUCCCUCCCAUUUUUUAUGUCUCUAUCGGAGUUUAAAGAGACUGGUGUCCAUGAUUAAGGCAUCUGACCGAAAGAGAAUUUGAAUGCAAGAGCAAUAGACUGACAUUUGUUUUUAUUUGGUUCUGUUCCUAAUAAACAGAGUGACUGACCUUCAUUUUUGGUUUCUUCAAGAAUGAUGUCAUCAAGUGCCAGAUGGAACAAGGAAAGACAUUGCCCACAACAGAGAUUUUUAAAAGGCAGAAAAGCAAAGUGAUCACAUGUAUGUCCCAGUUUUGCUCCAUCCAAGAUGCCAGAAUACUGUUAGAUAAGUGUGGGUGAUGUGAAGGUUGAGGGCUUGGUUUCCUACUCAGUUUUAAGGACUCAAAGGAUAUGAUCUCAAAGCCACACCCUGUAUCAGCUUCAGGUGUGAGAUUACCACCACAAUGGUGCAUUGUUGAUAACAGCAGGAGACUUUGAGGCUUAGCAGUGCCCUGCCUCUUUUCAUUCCUCAGGUCUUAGACAAAGAGUUGUAGAUAUUUUGGCAAAUAGUAUUCCAAGUAAGUCUGCAAUGUUGGUAUGAAAUGGCUCUGUGCCUGCAACAGACCAUGUGAGCUGGGAGACAUAAGUCACAGCCAGGUUCCAGGACCCUAUAGCACCAGCAACAGCUGGUGUCUAGGAAAGUCACCUGGCUUUCAUUGUCAAAGAACAUAACCAGAUCAGAAUUACAGCAGCUACAGAAUCAGUCACAAGGAGCAACUGAGGUGGACCAGGGAUUGCUGGAGGAGAUGGGAAGACAGAGGUCCCUGAUUCUCUUGUUGCGAAGAGGAUGAAUAAACUUCCUCUACUUCCUACCUCCAUUUUCCAUUUAGAGGAGACAAGCAGGGCAGAGUGAGGCUAUGUAAGAAAGACACUAAGCAGUGGAAAAUUUAUUUUCUGUAUCAGACUGAACAAUGUCUUUUAGAAGUUUUUCAAUUACAAGAUUGAGCCACAUUUGAAACAUAGG